rnacentral:rRNA from 1 species
CACGUAGGGCGCAAGCGUUGUCCGGAAUUAUUGGGCGUAAAGAGCUCGUAGGCGGUCUGUUGCGUCCGCUGUGAAAACUCGGGGCUUAACCCCGAGCCUGCAGUGGAUACGGGCAGACUAGAGGUAGGUAGGGGAGAAUGGAAUUCCCGGUGUAGCGGUGAAAUGCGCAGAUAUCGGGAGGAACACCGGUGGCGAAGGCGGCGUUCUGGACUGCAACUGACACUGAUAAACGAAAGCCAGGGGAGCAAACGAG